UAUGAAGGGGGCUAGCGUUGUUCGGAUUUACUGGGCGUAAAGCGCACGUAGGCGGAUUGUUAAGUCGGGGGUGAAAUCCUGGAGCUCAACUCCAGAACUGCCUUCGAUACUGGCAAUCUAGAGUCCGGAAGAGGUGAGUGGAACUCCUAGUGUAGAGGUGGAAUUCGUAGAUAUUAGGAAGAACACCAGUGGCGAAGGCGGCUCACUGGUCCGGUACUGACGCUGAGGUGCGAAAGCGUGGGGAGCAAACAGG
rnacentral:rRNA from 1 species